UUAUGGCCAUAUCACAUCGAAACACAGGUUCCUGUACGAUGACAAAAGUUAAGCAACGUCGAGCCUGGUCAGUACCUAGAUGGGUGACAGCUUGGGAAUGCCAGCUACUGUC